rnacentral:rRNA from 1 species
GACGAACGCUGGCGGCGUGCCUAAUACAUGCAAGUAGAACGCUGAAGGAGGAGCUUGCUCUUCUGGAUGAGUUGCGAACGGGUGAGUAACGCGUAGGUAACCUGCCUGGUAGCGGGGGAUAACUAUUGGAAACGAUAGCUAAUACCGCAUAACAGUAGAUGUUGCAUGACAUUUGCUUAAAAGGUGCAAUUGCAUCACUACCAGAUGGACCUGCGUUGUAUUAGCUAGUUGGUGGGGUAACGGCUCACCUAGGCGACGAUACAUAGCCGAACGGAGAGGGGGGGCGGCCACACUGGGACUGAGACAGGGCACAGAGUGCUACGGGAAGCAGCAAGAGGGAAUCUUCGGGAAUGGACGGGAGUCUGACCGAGCAACGCGGCGGGAGUGAAGAAGGGUUUCGGAUCGUAAAGCUCUGUUGUAGGGGAAGAACGAGUGUGAGAGUGGAAAGUUCACAGUGUGACGGUAACUUAUCAGAAAGGGACGGCUAACUACGUG